GAGCACGUAGGUGGGUUUGUAAGUCAGAUGUGAAAGCCUUCUGUUCAACGGAAGAAUUGCAUCUGAAACUACAAACCUUGAGUGUAGGAGGGGAGAAUGGAACUUCUGGUGGAGCGGUGAAAUGCGUAGAUAUCAGAAGGAACGCCGGCGGCGAAAGCGAUUCUCUGGCCUAUUACUGACACUGAGUGUGCGAAAGCUAGGGGAGCAAACGGGAUUAGAUACCCCGGUAGUCCUAGCCGUAAACGAUGGGCACUAAGUAGAGGGAAUUACCGAUGUUCUCUCUGCCGUAGCUAACGCAUUAAGUGCCCCGCCUGGGGAGUACGGCCGCAAGGCUAAAACUCAAAAGAAUUGACGGGGGCUCGCACAAGCGGUGGAGCAUGUGGCUUAAUUCGAUGCAACGCGAAAAACCUUACCGGGGCUUGACAUGGUAGAAGUAGGAACCCGAAAGGGGAACGAAUGGUAUCCAGUCCAUAGCUAUUACAGGUGUUGCAUGGCUGUCGUCAGCUCGUGUCGUGAGACGUUGGGUUAAGUCCCCUAACGAGCGAAACCCAUGUUUUUAGUUACCAGCGGGUUGUGCCGGGUACUCUAGAAAGACUGCCGUCGUCAAGACGGAGGAAGGUGGGGAUGACGUCAAGUCAUCAUGGCCCUUAUGCCCCGGGCUGCACACGUGCUACAAUGGUCGGUACAAACGGAAGCGAAGCCGAGAGGUGAAGCGAAUCC
rnacentral:rRNA from 1 species